GGAUGCAUAGCUCAGUUGGUAAGAGCACCGAUCUUAUAAGUCGGGGGUCCAUGGUUCGAGUCCAUGUGCAUCCA
rnacentral:tRNA from 1 species